ACGAACGCUGGCGGCGGGCUUAACACAUGCAAGUCGAACGAGAACUCAAGCUUGCUUGAGGGAAAGUGGCGCACGGGUGAGUAACGCGUAGGCAAUCUGCCCCCAACUGAGGAAUAACCCAUCGAAAGGUGGGCUAAUACCACAUAACGACGGAUGACCGCAUGGUCGACCGUCCAAAGUUCAGGCAGUUGGGGAUGAGCCUGCGUCGGAUUAGCUAGUUGGCGGGGUAACGGCCCACCAAGGCGACGAUCCGUAGCGGGUCUGAGAGGAUGAUCCGCCACACUGGCACUGAGACACGGGCCAGACUCCUACGGGAGGCAGCAGUGAGGAAUAUUGCGCAAUGGAGGAAACUCUGACGCAGCCACGCCGCGUGCAGGAAGACACCCCUCUGGGGCGUAAACUGCUUUUGUACGAGAAGAACACCAUGUUCUGCAGGGUCUGACGGUAUCGUACGAAUAAGGACCGGCUAACUCCGU
rnacentral:rRNA from 1 species